rnacentral:rRNA from 1 species
UACGUAGGGUGCAAGCGUUAAUCGGAAUUACUGGGCGUAAAGCGUGCGCAGGCGGUUCUAUAAGACAGAUGUGAAAUCCCCGGGCUCAACCUGGGAACUGCAUUUGUGACUGUAGAGCUGGAGUACGGCAGAGGGGGAUGGAAUUCCGCGUGUAGCAGUGAAAUGCGUAGAUAUGCGGAGGAACACCGAUGGCGAAGGCAGUCCCCUGGGCCUGUACUGACGCUCAUGCACGAAAGCGUGGGGAGCAAACAGG